GUGUCAGCCGCCGCGGUAAUACAGAGGUCCCAAGCGUUGUUCGGAUUCACUGGGCGUAAAGGGUGCGUAGGUGGUUAGGUAAGUCCGAUGUGAAAUCUCCAGGCUCAACCUGGAAAUGGCAUUGGAUACUAUUUAGCUUGAGGAGUGGAGGGGGGACUGGAAUUCUCGGUGUAGCAGUGAAAUGCGUAGAUAUCGAGAGGAACACCAGUGGCGAAGGCGAGUCCCUGGACACUUCCUGACACUGAGGCACGAAAGCUAGGGGAGCAAACAGGAUUAGAAACCCUCGUAGUCC
rnacentral:rRNA from 1 species